UACGUAGGCAGCAAGCGUUGUUCGGAAUUACUGGGCGUAAAGAGUGUGUAGGCGGUGCUCCAAGUCUGGUGUGAAAUCUCCCGGCUUAACUGGGAGGGUGCAUUAGAAACUGGAAUGCUAGAGGAUGGGAGAGGUAAGCGGAAUUCCUGGUGUAGCGGUGAAAUGCGUAGAUAUCAGGAGGAACACCGAUGGCGAAGGCAGCUCGCUGGGACGGUACUGACGCUGAGGCGCGAAAGCGUGGGGAGCGAACAGG
rnacentral:rRNA from 1 species